GCCCAAGUGGCGGAAUUGGCAGACGCGCUGGCUUCAGGAGCCAGUGGGGGUUAACCCCGUGGAGGUUCGAGUCCUCUCUUGGGCACCU
rnacentral:tRNA from 1 species